rnacentral:lncRNA from 1 species
CUCACUGCAAGCUCCGCCUCCCGGGUUCGCGCCAUUCUCCUUCCUCAGCCUCCCAGAAGCUGGGGCUACAGGCGCGGCCACCACGCCCGGUUAAUUUUUUGUGUGUGUGAUUUUAGUAGAGACGGGGUUUCACCGUGUUGGCCAGGAUGGUCUCGAUCUCCUGACCUUGUGAUCCACCCUCCUCGGCCUCCCAAAGUGGUGGGAUUACAGGCGUGAGCCACCAAGCACGGCAUUUUUUUUUUUUAAUCUAAAAUAAGGCCACUAGUACUACUUCCUUCCUCCCCUUUCAAUGCUAAUAGAGAAGAGAUCAACUCUCUGACUUACCUAGAAGCUGAGCUAGGAUUCGAAUCCAGUUCCCUGACUCCUCUUCUGGUUCUCCAGCAACUCAGCCACAUGGAUUCUUUCUCUUACACACAGGCUCUUUUUGGCCACAGUAAACACACUGACCUUUGAAAUAUGGAAAGAAAAGCGCUUUGAAAUAAAACUGGCACAAACAGCAGUCAGACAGCCGUCAUCUGGAGGCUGAAACAAAGAGGAGCAUAGUUUUCAAGCUGUCUUCGUAAUUACACGAAGCAGUUAUCACUCAGGCCCCAGUCUGCGCAUUGCCCCCCAAACAAACAGCCGAGGGCUGAGAGAGCACAUAGGCCACUUUGUUGCGCCAGCAUACUGGGGAGUGGAGAGCCCCCCCAGCUAAAAUCACAUGUGGCUUGGAGUGUUUUCCAGGACUUCAGGCUUUUUCCUUUCUUCCUUCCCCAUUAAACCCCUCUGCUCUUCUUGGCAAAGGCCUUCAGGUGAGUUUAUCCUCCAGAAAUGAUCACUGUGAUAUACCUGUGACUGCUGAAUGGCUAUCGUACAUCUGUAAAUGGGCAUACCAUUCCUGGUACCUUCUAACUUUGUGAACACUGUCCCCAUGCAUAAAAUAUGGAGUCCUGCAGAGCAGCUAGAGAAAGGGAGCACUCACCCUGCAGAAGUCAUUGAGAGCCCAUGUGGCAGAAAGAUGAAACCCCCUUCCAACAGCCAUGCAAGUGAGCUUGGAAGUAAACCAUUCAGCUCCUAUCAAGUCUUUGGAUUGCAGUCCUGGCUGAGAGCUUGACUGCAACUUCGUGAGCCAGAGCCACCUAGCUAAACUAUUCUUGAAUCUGUGAUCCUCAGAAACUGUGUGAGAUGAUGAAUAUUUGCUGACUUAAACUUUAAGUUUUGGAGUAAUUUGUUAUGAACAAUAGACAACUGAUACAGUAUCUAUGUCUAUAUAUUUUUUUAGUGUAAUUCACGUAAUAUAAAACACACAGAUCUGGAGUGUUAAAUUCUGUGAGCUUUGAUCAUUGUAUACAAACGUGUAAC